UACGUAGGGGGCGAGCGUUGUCCGGAAUUACUGGGCGUAAAGCGCACGCAGGCGGUCUGCUAAGUUUGGAGUGACAGUUGGUGGCUUAACUGCCAAAGUGCUUCGAAAACUGACAGACUUGAGGGCUGCAGAGGGACACGGAAUUCCGGGUGGAGUGGUGAAAUGCGUAGAGAUCCGGAGGAACACCAAAGGCGAAGGCAGUGUCCUGGGGAGUAACUGACGCUCAGGUGCGAAAGCCAGGGGAGCGAACGGG
rnacentral:rRNA from 1 species